rnacentral:rRNA from 1 species
CAGCCGCCGCGGUAAUACGAAGGGUGCAAGCGUUACUCGGAAUUACUGGGCGUAAAGCGUGCGUAGGUGGUGGUUUAAGUCCGUUGUGAAAGCCCUGGGCUCAACCUGGGAAUUGCAGUGGAUACUGGGUCACUAGAGUGUGGUAGAGGAUAGUGGAAUUUCCGGUGUAGCAGUGAAAUGCGUAGAGAUCGGGAGGAACAUCAGUGGCGAAGGCGGCCAUCUGGGACAACACUGACGCUGAGGCACGAAAGCGUGGGGAGCAAACAGGAUUAGAUACCCCUGUAGUCCCUGUCUCUUAUAC